rnacentral:rRNA from 1 species
GACAGAGGGUGCAAACGUUGUUCGGAAUUACUGGGCGUAAAGCGUGUGUAGGCGGCCUCGUAAGUCGGAUGUGAAAGCCCCAGGCUUAACCUGGGAAGUGCACUCGAAACUGCGAGGCUUGAGUAUCGGAGAGGUUGGUGGAAUUCUCGGUGUAGAGGUGAAAUUCGUAGAUAUCGAGAGGAACACCGGUGGCGAAGGCGGCCAACUGGACGAAUACUGACGCUGAGACACGAAAGCCGUGGGGGAGCAAAACAGG